CGCGGAUUAGCCCAAACCAAUAAAGUUUUCUUUAUUGGGGUUGCGGACAUAUCAUAACGAAGAGGUAUCGUAAUUGAAGAGGUUUGGAAAGACCCACCACAGAAGGUAAUAGUCCUGUAUGUUAAACGAGAAGACUUCAGAUAUGAUCCAGAGUACCACGGGACACGUGAAACCCUGUGGGAAGCAGGAGGGACCACCCUCCAAGGCUAAAUACUACCUAGUGACCGAUAGCGUAUAGUACCGUGAGGGAAAGGUGAAAAGAACCCCGGGAGGGGAGUGAAAUAGAACCUGAAACCCUGCACUUACAAGCUGUGGAAGCACAUUUCUUGUGUGACCGCGUACUUUUUGUAGAACGGGCCAACGAGUUACGUUAAGUAGCAAGGUUAAGCACUUAAGGUGCGGAGCCGUAGCGAAAGCGAGUUUUAACUGAGCGUUCAGUUACUUGACGUAGACCCGAAACCGGGCGACCUACCCAUGAGCAGGAUGAAGCGAAAGUAAAAUUUCGUGGAGGUCCGAACCCACGAGCGUUGAAAAGCUCGGGGAUGACUUGUGGGUAGCGGUGAAAUUCCAAUCGAGCCCGGAGAUAGCUGGUUCUCCCCGAAAUAGCUUUAGGGCUAGCCUCAAGGUGAGAGAUACGGAGGUAGAGCACUGAAUGUCCUAGGGGGUAUUGCACCUACCGAAGACUAUCAAACUCCGAAUGCCGUCAUCUUAUACUUGGGAGUCAGACUGUGGGUGAUAAGAUUCAUAGUCGAAAGGGCAACAGCCCAGAUCGUCAGCUAAGGUCCCUAAAUGUAAGUUAAGUGGUAAAGGAUGUGGGAUUGCACAGACAACCAGGAUGUUGGCUUAGAAGCAGCCACUCAUUCAAAGAGUGCGUAAUAGCUCACUGGUCGAGUGAUCCUGCGCCGAAGAUUUCCGGGGCUAAAACUUACUACCGAAGCUACGGCAUCAGUAAUGAUGGGUAGGGGAGCUUCCCAUACGGGUUGAAGCAUGACCGUAAGGACAUGUGGACAGUAUGGGAGUGAGAAUGUUGGCAUGAGUAGCGAGAUGUGGGUGAGAAUCCCACAGGCCGUAAACCCAAGGUUUCCAGGGGAAGGUUCGUCCGCCCUGGGUUAGUCGGGACCUAAGCUGAGGCCGAAAGGCGUAGGUGAUGGACAACAGGUUGAUAUUCCUGUACUACCGAUAACCGUUUGAGAGAAGGGAUGACACAGUAGGAUAAGCUAAGCACACUGUUGGUUAUGUGUGCCCAAGCAUUGAGGCAGUCAAAGUAGGUAAAUCCGCUUUGAUAAUGCUGGGAUGUGAUGGGGAGCGAAAUUUAGUAGCGAAGUAGCUGAUUUCACACUGUCAAGAAAAGUCUCUAUCGAGGUUAAAGGUACCCGUACCGCAAACCGACACAGGUGGGUGAGGAGAGUAUCCUAAGGCCAGCGAGAGAACUGUUGUUAAGGAACUCGGCAAAAUGACCCCGUAACUUAGGGAUAAGGGGUGCCACCAUCAGGUGGCCGCAGAGAAUAGGCCCAAGCGACUGUUUACCAAAAACAUAGGUUUCUGCUAAGUCGCAAGACGAUGUAUAGGAGCUGACGCCUGCCCGGUGCUGGAAGGUUAAGGGGAUCUGUUAGAGCAAUCGAAGCAGUGAACUUAAGCCCCAGUAAACGGCGGCCGUAACUAUAACGGUCCUAAGGUAGCGAAAUUCCUUGUCGGGUAAGUUCCGACCCGCACGAAAGGCGUAACGAUUUGGGCACUGUCUCAACAACAGACUCGGUGAAAUUGUAAUUCCGGUGAAGAUGCCGGAUACCUGCGACAGGACGGAAAGACCCCAUGGAGCUUUACUGUAGCUUGACAUUGGGUCUUGGUACUACAUGUACAGGAUAGGUGGGAGGCUUUGAAACCAGGACGCCAGUUUUGGCGGAGCCAUCCUUGGGAUACCACCCUUGUAGUACUGGGACUCUAACCAUAGGCCAUGAAUCUGGUCUUGGGACACUGUCAGGUGGGCAGUUUGACUGGGGCGGUCGCCUCCCAAAAGGUAACGGAGGCGCUCAAAGGUUCUCUCAGUACGGUCGGAAAUCGUACGUAGAGUGUAAAGGCAAAAGAGAGCUUGAUUGCAAGACAUACAGGUCGAGCAAGGAUGAAAAUCGGACUUAGUGAUCCGGUGGUUCUGCGUGGAAGGGCCAUCGCUCAACGGAUAAAAGCUACCCUGGGGAUAACAGGCUUAUCUCCCCCAAGAGUCCACAUCGACGGGGAGGUUUGGCACCUCGAUGUCGGCUCAUCACAUCCUGGGGCUGUAGUAGGUCCCAAGGGUUGGGCUGUUCGCCCAUUAAAGUGGUACGCGAGCUGGGUUCAGAACGUCGUGAGACAGUUCGGUCCCUAUCCGUCGCAGGCGUAGGAAAUUUGAGAAGACCUGUCCUUAGUACGAGAGGACCGGGAUGGACG
rnacentral:rRNA from 1 species